GCUAUUUUGGCAGAAAAAUGUUAUGGUUUUAGAAAUCAUAAAUGUAUAUUAUAUUAUACAUAUAGUA
rnacentral:tRNA from 1 species